GAUGAACGCUGGCGGCGUGCCUAAUACAUGCAAGUCGAGCGAACGGACGAGAAGCAUGCUUUUCUGAUGUUAGCGGCGGACGGGUGAGUAACACGUGGAUAACCUACCUAUAAGACUGGGAUAACUUCGGGAAACCGGAGCUAAUACCGGAUAAUAUUUUGAACCGCAUGGUUCAAAAGUGAAAGACGGUCUUGCUGUCACUUAUAGAUGGAUCCGCGCUGCAUUAGCUAGUUGGUAAGGUAACGGCUUACCAAGGCAACGAUGCAUAGCCGACCUGAGAGGGUGAUCGGCCACACUGGAACUGAGACACGGUCCAGACUCCUACGGGAGGCAGCAGUAGGGAAUCUUCCGCAAUGGGCGGAAGCCUGACGGAGUAACGCCGCGUGAGUGAUGAAGGUCUUCGGAUCGUAAAACUCUGUUAUUAGGGAAGAACAUAUGUGUAAGUAACUGUGCACAUCUUGACGGUACCUAAUCAGAAAGCCACGGCUAACUACGUG
rnacentral:rRNA from 1 species